rnacentral:rRNA from 1 species
UACGAAGGGGGCGAGCGUUGUUCGGAUUUACUGGGCGUAAAGGGCGCGUAGGCGGCCUUGUCAGUCAGGCGUGAAAGCCCCGGGCUCAACCUGGGAACGGCGCUUGGGACGGCGAGGCUGGAGUUCGGGAGAGGAGAGUGGAAUUCCCAGUGUAGAGGUGAAAUUCGUAGAUAUUGGGAAGAACACCGGUGGCGAAGGCGGCUCUCUGGACCGACACUGACGCUGAGGCGCGAAAGCGUGGGAGCAAACAGG